UGAUUUUCAAUGGCUACAAUAUUGAUUUUAAGCUCUCUACGAAUCUAUGAAAUGAAGAAGAACAUUUUAUUGAAAAAGAAUACCAACUUAAAACUGAAUUUAUGGAAUGUUGGAGGAACAAAUGGGUUAUAUCAUGUUACCUUAAAGUUAAUCGAAAGCUAACAUCCUUAUAGUUCCUGAGUAAAAAAUAAAUGAUCAGUCAUUUUAUUCCAAAAUGACUAGUAAGGGUUUGGGAAACUUCUGUCCAUUUGGAACGAGACUAUUCCCGCCUCUCGAUGCGACCGCUGCAACUCCUGUGUAGCCAGGAUCUACAGUUGGUCCAAUAAAACCCAACCUCUGAAGACUUAGUAAGUCCCUGAGUAAAGUUUUCACGUAUGAGUUAGACCACUGAAGUUACAUAGUAAUAUCUGGUGUCAGAUAAGUAGGUCUAUGUCUAAACUCAUACUCGUAACAAGCGUCUGACAUGGUUCAAUUAGACAUAUCAUACUCCAAAAUUUUGUUUAAAAACUUCGUCACUUCAGCUUGAGGACAAAUAUAUUUCUGUUCAUGCAUAGGUAUAAUAAAAUUAUUUUCCUUUGGUAUUUUGACUGUCAACCCUAGGUAAAUCAUAGUGAAGCAAGUUCUUAUACCUAUUUGAAAUUGAAACUAGAUUUUUCAAUUAGUUUAGUAAUUAGUAAUCAAAUCAUGCAAACCGUUCUAUGUCAAUUUGUGAAACUGACGAUAGGU